AAAUUGCAGGAUCGUGAAACGUUGCGGCGGCGAGGAGAGGCCUUCAUGCAGCACUGGAAUGAGCAUGGCUGCUGCUGGUUAACUAUUCACUCUUUUCUUUCAGACGUGACCUGGCCAAAAAACGAGAGCUCAACGAAUUGGCUCAUCGUGCGGAAAUGUUUAGCGGCCAAGUGCUCUAAACGCGCGUUGCCAAACGUGGAGACCCCGAAGGACCCGGGGACAAAAUCCACGCGCAGAGAGAGACGCGCAGACUCCAGACGUCCACAGCGGCAGGCGUCAGGGUCGGGAUCGAACCCACGAACCUCCUGCACACCAGGCGAGACGCAACCUGCCCAUCACAAAUGAGAGCUCAACCACGUGGCCCAUCGCAAAACCCCAACCACGUGCUCGUCAUGCUGGGUGGUGGGGGGGCGUCUCUUCUAGUGCGAGGCCCCUGGGGGGGGGUGGUGGCAAGUCGGCUCCUGCGUGGGCUCUGCCUGGGGGCGAUGCCCCCCCCCCUCGUGGAGGCCUUCUGAGAAUGGCGUCUAACCAGCAGCAUCGGUUCCACGCGAGCACAACGACAGGGGCGGCCAACGCCGGUGAGCUGCCGGACGUGGGUCGGCGAGGUGCCCUCUCUGUGUGUCUACGACCAGCGGAAACAAGAAGACACUCGCUGGAGUCGGCACUCUGCUUCGUUCAUCACCCUUCUCGCAGCCCGACGGCCUCCGACGGGUAGCUCAUAUCAGCAUGCAGAGCUCCCCGUCAUCUGCCACCGAGCACACGGCCUCCUCCAUCACCCACUGCUCCUUGAAGGCCGGCACGGCGUGGGCCUGUGUGAGACAUGGGUCAGGGUUGGACUCAUAAUCACGCGGCUGGGACUCGGCGACGACGCCCCGGGUCAGCACUCUGCCUCGCUGAUGCCGCGACUGGCGCAGGACGGACGCCAAGAGGCCGAUCCUGGGGCUCCAGGGUCAGGGAGAGGGAGGAGGGGGGGGUCUUACCCCCUCGCCGGAGUCGCGUAUCCCCACGGACCCCCAGGAGCCCCCUUGGGGAGAGAAGGGUGCGCAGGGAUGAGAUCACCGCGAGCGGGACAGCCCGCACCGCCUCCCCCCCCUGCCCGCCCGUCGCUGAUGUCCCAGUGGCCCCCAGAGGUCGCGCGGCCGAGGGGAGAAAGAGGGGAGAGAGAAGGGAGAU